UACGAAGGGGGCUAGCGUUGCCCGGAAUCACUGGGCGUAAAGCGCACGUAGGCGGCUUGUUAAGUCAGGGGUGAAAUCCUGGAGCUCAACUCCAGAACUGCCUUUGAUACUGGCGAGCUUGAGUCCGGGAGAGGUGAGUGGAACUGCGAGUGUAGAGGUGAAAUUCGUAGAUAUUCGCAAGAACACCAGUGGCGAAGGCGGCUCACUGGCCCGGUACUGACGCUGAGGUGCGAAAGCGUGGGGAGCAAACAGG
rnacentral:rRNA from 1 species